GCAACGGCCAUGGGUUCAAUUCCCAGUCCCACUACAAAUAAUAAUAACUAGUGAUAAAAGCAAAAGCAACUAAGACCCCUCAGCCCCGUUCCUGCACUGGGACAGAUGGCUGAGGGCACUAGAGGGACCAGCUGCCCUUGUAUUUAUUUAUUUUAUUUUUUUGGUGCCAGGGAUGGAACUCGCGUCCUUGCACUUGCAAGGCGGGCAGCGGCAGCACUGAGCUAAAUCCCUGGCCCUGCCCUUUUGUUUUAUCUCGCUCUCCCAUUUCUGGUGACGGAGCACACAGAGUCCACGUGUUACAGAAAAUGGCUCGCUCUUCAGCCUUGGUCACCGGGCGCAGAACAUGCAUUUCUGCCACACAGAUGCUGUCUUUCAAUGGAAGUUUAAAGAAAUAACAAAAGCGAAGUUGCCAUGGGGUGAGUAAUGACCCUGCUCUGCUUGCUGUGUGAUUAACGCUGUGGAAGCGACUCGCAUCUGAGGCCACACUGCUGGUGGUGCCAUGCUGCGUGGGCUUCCCGGUCAUUUCAGAGCUGACUUCCAGAGACCGCAGCCUCCUGGGCGAGGACUGGGCACUGCCACCUGCAGGCUGCUGCUCUGUUAGUGUCAGGGCCUCCAAAGCUGGAUGGGGCCAGAGGCAGGGGCCUGGGGCUCUAUCCUGCUGAAAAAGUCCAGUUUGGUUCAUUCUGUCCCAAAACAAAGGGAAAAGAGAUUCAAUGUGGGGAGAGGGUAAGGCAAGUAGGAAAAAGCACUUUUACUGAAAGAUGAAUACUGUUGGCUUUUUUUUUUUGGUACUGGGGAUUGAACUUGGGACCUUGCACUUGAGAGGCAGGCGCCAGAACCACUGAGCUAAAUCCCCGCCCCACUGUUGGCUUUUUA